UUCUUUACGCUUCCGAAGGAUAACAGCUCAUCCAUUGGUCUUAGGAACCAAAAACUCUUGGUGCAAAUCCAAGCGGAAGCU
rnacentral:tRNA from 1 species